CCUACGGGUGGCAGCAGUGGGGAAUAUUGGACAAUGGGCGAAAGCCUGAUCCAGCCAUGCCGCGUGUGUGAAGAAGGCCUUCGGGUUGUAAAGCACUUUCAGUGGGGAAGAAAGCCUUGGGGCUAAUACCCUCGAGGAAGGACAUCACCCACAGAAGAAGCACCGGCUAACUCCGUGCCAGCAGCCGCGGUAAUACGGAGGGUGCGAGCGUUAAUCGGAAUUACUGGGCGUAAGGGCGCGUAGGCGGUCUGAUAAGCCGGUUGUGAAAGCCCCGGGCUCAACCUGGGAACGGCAUCCGGAACUGGCAGGCUAGGGUGCAGGAGAGUAAGGUAGAAUUCCCGGUGUAGCGGUGAAAUGCGUAGAGAUCGGGAGGAAUACCAGUGGCGAAGGCGGACUUCUGGACUGACACUGACGCUGAGGUGCGAAAGCGUGGGUAGCAAACAGGAUUAGAUACCCAGUAGUC
rnacentral:rRNA from 1 species